CAGUAAGAAAAGAUAACUGGGACACUAAACUUGGGAUUAUAUAGAGAAGAUCAGCACAGUCCCGGCCCAAGGAUGACAUGCAAUUUUGAAAAGCAUUCCAUAUUUUU
ensembl:snRNA U6 U6 spliceosomal RNA